UACGUAGGGGGCGAGCGUUGUCCGGAUUUAUUGGGCGUAAAGCGCGUGUAGGCGGCUUGGUAGGUCUGCUGUGAAAACUCGGGGCUCAACCCCGAGACGUCGGUGGAAACCACCUGGCUAGAGUCCGGAAGAGGAGAGUGGAAUUCCUGGUGUAGCGGUGAAAUGCGCAGAUAUCAGGAGGAACACCGGUGGCGAAGGCGGCAUCCUGGACCGGUAUUGACGCUGAGGCGCGAAAGCCAGGGGAGCAAACGGG
rnacentral:rRNA from 1 species